rnacentral:rRNA from 1 species
GGGUCAGUAGGUUGGUCGUGCCACCGGUACGUACUGGUCUCACUGAUUCCUCCUUCCUGAAGAACCGUAGUGCCAUUAAUUUGGUGUUGCGGGGAAACAGGACUGUCACUUUGAAAAAAUUAGAGUGUUUAAAGCAAGCUAACGCUUGAAUACAUUAGCAUGGAAUAAUGAAAUAGGACGAUCGAUCCUAUUUUGUUGGUUUCUAGGAUUGACGUA